GUUGGUACUGUCUCUCUCAUU
rnacentral:miRNA from 1 species